CAUAAGCCAUUCCACACACCAGAAAAGCCCCCUCCUGAAGGAGAUACAUGGGAAAUAAAACAGAGAUCCACAAUGUGCAGAGAGUGGGUAGCUUUGGAGCACGUAGUCUUAAAUAGGUUGUCUCUACCAAGCCCCUGUCUUCAAAUCUCAAGAAAGCUUACAGAAGUGGAGAUGGAAAGAUUAUAAGAGACAGUGGGGAUGGAGGACUCCAAGGAAACAGUAACCUUCAGACAAAAUUGGACUGGCACACAGAUGACAUCACAGAUACUGAGGAAGCAUGGUACAGAGGUCUAAGACACGUGUCAUCUCGGCACUGAGGGUGGAAGUAGACAAGAGCCCCUCUCCAUAAACAAGAAGCUAUCUCCAGUUAACAAUUGCUUGCAAAAGAAAAGGACAACAUAUUUAAGAAAUUCUGAGGUUAUAGAUCCAGGCUGCCACAGCAACUUAUCCAGAUGAACUAGAGAACAAGUCACUGAUGAGACACCUCUCCCGACAUUAAUAGGAAAGCCUCACGUAAAACCCUUGGGCAAUAACCAAGUGAUAUUUUAUGACUUAUGAGACUCAGACGACACGUACUGGGAUGGAUGAGUAGAAAGCAAAUGGCAGAGGACAUCUUCUAUUUGUGAACUAGAAUGACAAAAAUGAAGCCUGGAUGGCCUAAUCCCACCAAGGUGCAUACCUUCUUCCAGUUACUUAAGGACCUGUUAUUAGUCCUUACCUAACAUCUCACAAGAACACGUUCCUGGGGUCAAGCCUUUAAAACCCUCCAGAGGAUGACCAGCUAAAUGUCAGACAAUGAAUUAAGUACUUUUAAAGAUUAGCACUCUCCAUCUUUCUUAAAUUUUUAAUUUAAAUAAAAUGUAAUG
rnacentral:lncRNA from 1 species